UGGGGAAUUUUGGACAAUGGGCGCAAGCCUGAUCCAGCCAUGCCGCGUGCGGGAAGAAGGCCUUCGGGUUGUAAACCGCUUUUGGCAGGAACGAAACGGCGCGGGCUAACACCUCGCGCUAAUGACGGUACCUGCAGAAUAAGCACCGGCUAACUACGUGCCAGCAGCCGCGGUAAUACGUAGGGUGCAAGCGUUAAUCGGAAUUACUGGGCGUAAAGCGUACGUAGGCGGCUUUGCAAGACAGGUGUGAAAUCCCCGGGCCUAACCUGGGAACUGCAUUUGUGACUGCAUGGCUAGAGUCUGUCGGAGGGGGGUGGAAUUCCACGUGUAGCAGUGAAAUGCGUAGAGAUGUGGAAGAACACCGAUGGCGAAGGCAGCCCCCUGGGAUGAGACUGACGCUCAUGUACGAAAGCGUGGGGAGCAAACAGGAUUAGAUACCCUGGUAGUCCACGCCGUAAACGAUGGGCACUAGGUGCCGGGGUCUCUAGACGGAUUCGGU
rnacentral:rRNA from 1 species